rnacentral:rRNA from 1 species
AUUGAACGCUGGCGGCAUGCCUUACACAUGCAAGUCGAACGGCAGCACGGGUGCUUGCACCUGGUGGCGAGUGGCGAACGGGUGAGUAAUACAUCGGAACAUGUCCUGUAGUGGGGGAUAGCCCGGCGAAAGCCGGAUUAAUACCGCAUACGAUCCACGGAUGAAAGCGGGGGACCUUCGGGCCUCGCGCUAUAGGGUUGGCCGAUGGCUGAUUAGCUAGUUGGUGGGGUAAAGACCUACCAAGGCGACGAUCAGUAGCUGGUCUGAGAGGACGACCAGCCACACUGGGACUGAGACACGGCCCAGACUCCUACGGGAGGCAGCAGUGGGGAAUUUUGGACAAUGGGCGAAAGCCUGAUCCAGCAAUGCCGCGUGUGUGAAGAAGGCCUUCGGGUUGUAAAGCACUUUUGUCCGGAAAGAAAUCCUUGACUCUAAUACAGUCGGGGGAUGACGGUACCGGAAGAAUAAGCACCGGCUAACUACGUG